rnacentral:rRNA from 1 species
UCGGGAAUUUUGUGCAAUGGGCGAAAGCCUGACACAGCAACGCCGCGUGAAGGAUGAAGUCCCUCGGGAUGUAAACUUCGUAAGAAUAGGAAGAAUAAAUGACGGUACUAUUUGUAAGGUCCGGCUAACUACGUGCCAGCAGCCGCGGUAAUACGUAGGGACCAAGCGUUGUUCGGAUUUACUGGGCGUAAAGGGUGCGUAGGCGGCAUAUCAAGUCACUUGUGAAAUCUCCGGGCUUAACUCGGAACUGCCAAGUGAUACUGAUGUGCUGGAGUGCAGAAAGGGCAACUGGAAUUCUUGGUGUAGCGGUGAAAUGCGUAGAUAUCAAGAGGAACACCUGAGGUGAAGACGGGUUGCUGGGCUGACACUGACGCUGAGGCGCGAAAGCCAGGGGAGCAAACGGGAUUAGAUACCCAAGUAGUCCCUGAGCGGGCUGGCAAGGCGCAU